AGCCUGUAAAUGCCGCGUGUGUGAAGAAGGUCUUCGGAUUGUAAAGCACUUUCGACGGGGACGAUGAACGGUACCCGUAGAAGAAGCCCCGGCUAACUUCGUGCCAGCAGCCGCGGUAAUACGAAGGGGGCUAGCGUUGCUCGGAAUGACUGGGCGUAAAGGGCGCGUAGGCGGUUUGGACAGUCAGAUGUGAAAUUCCUGGGCUUAACCUGGGGGCUGCAUUUGAUACGUAUAGACUAGAGUGUGAGAGAGGGUUGUGGAAUUCCCAGUGUAGAGGUGAAAUUCGUAGAUAUUGGGAAGAACACCGGUGGCGAAGGCGGCUACCUGGCUCAUAACUGACGCUGAGGCGCGAAAGCGUGGGGAGCAAACAGGAUUAGAUACCCUGGUAGUCCACGCUGUAAACGAUGUGUGCUGGAUGUUGGGUGGCUUAGUCCCUCAGUGUCGUAGUUAACGCGAUAAGCUCACCGCCUGGGGAGUACGGCCGCAAAGUUGAAACUCAAAGGAUUUGACGGGGGCCCGCACAAGCGGUGGAGCAUGUGGUUUAAUCUCGAAGCAACGCGCAGAAUCUUUCCGGGGCUUGACUUGGGGAGGCUGUCAGCCCGAGAUGGUUGUUGCCCGUCGGGGACCUCCUGCACGGGUGCUGCGUGGCUGUCGUCAGCUCGUGUCGUGCGAUGUGGGGUUAAGUCCCGCAACGAGCGCAACCCUCGCCUUUAGUUGCCAGCAUGAUUGGGUGGGCACUCUAAAGGAACUGCCGGUGACAAGCCGGAGGAAGGUGGGGAUGACGUCAAGUCCUCAUGGCCCUUAUGUCCUGGGCUACACACUGUGCUACAAGUGGCGGAGACAGUGGGAAGCCAGGCAGCGAUGCCGAGCUGAUCUCAAAAAGCCGUCUCAGUUCGGAUUGCACUCUGCAACUCGAGUGCAUGAAGGUGGAAUCGCUAGUAAUCGCGAAUCAGCAUGCCGCGGUGAAUACGUUCCCGGGCCUUGUACACACCGCCCGUCACACCAUGGGAGUUGGUUUGACCUUAAGCCGGUGAGCGAACCCAGCAAUGGGGCGCAGCCGAUCACGGUCGGGUCAGCGACUGGGGUGAAGUCGUAACAAGGUAACCGUAACAAGAAAAAA
rnacentral:rRNA from 1 species